UACGUAGGUGGCAAGCGUUGUCCGGAAUUAUUGGGCGUAAGGCGCGCGUAGGUGGUUUGUUAAGUUGGAUGUGAAAUCCCCGGGCUCAACCUGGGAACUGCAUUCAAAACUGACUGACUAGAGUAUGGUAGAGGGUGGUGGAAUUUCCUGUGUAGCGGUGAAAUGCGUAGAUAUAGGAAGGAACACCAGUGGCGAAGGCGACCACCUGGACUAAUACUGACGCUGAGGUGCGAAAGCGUGGGGAGCAAACAGG
rnacentral:rRNA from 1 species